rnacentral:lncRNA from 1 species
AAUAACCCGUUCGAACCAACCUGCCCGAAUUACUUUUAAUCCAGUCCGUUGAUCGUUUUUAUCAAUGGUCCAGAUUACCCCCUUCCUUUUUAAUUACCAAUCACCCCUAACCCUAAUCACUUCCUGUCUAUAGCUGCCUUUGAGUCCCCACCCUCUCCUAACACUCUCUCAAAAGAACCCUAGCUUCCAUCUUUAAUCACCACCCAAAACCGACCAAAUUCAUGGCUUCCAAAGCCAUUGAUGGCCCAUAACUACCUCAUGUGACUCCUACACAUUUUAUUACCUUGGUUUUGAGGUCAAAAAUUCGAGAAGCCUGGCUCAGACCUUUACCUACUUGAAGAUCCCGGCCAUCUCCGACCUUGCUCUGGUGGCUCUUGGUCUUUUGAGCCUGAUUGUGAUAUUCUAUGGCUUAGAUCGUGAUUUUUCCAAGCCUUUCUCAG